rnacentral:rRNA from 1 species
GAUGAACGCUGGCGGCGUGCUUAACACAUGCAAGUCGAACGGAAAGGCCCAAGCUUGCUUGGGUACUCGAGUGGCGAACGGGUGAGUAACACGUGGGUGAUCUGCCCUGCACUUCGGGAUAAGCCUGGGAAACUGGGUCUAAUACCGGAUAGGACCACUUCUUGGAUGUUGUGGUGGAAAGUUUUUUCGGUGUGGGAUGAGCUCGCGGCCUAUCAGCUUGUUGGUGGGGUAAUGGCCUACCAAGGCGUCGACGGGUAGCCGGCCUGAGAGGGUGUACGGCCACAUUGGGACUGAGAUACGGCCCAGACUCCUACGGGAGGCAGCAGUGGGGAAUAUUGCACAAUGGGCGCAAGCCUGAUGCAGCGACGCCGCGUGGGGGAUGACGGCCUUCGGGUUGUAAACUCCUUUCGCUAGGGACAAAGCGUUUUUGUGACGGUACCUGGAGAAGAAGCACCGGCUAACUACGUG